GCGCAGACGGUUACUUAAGCAGGAUGUGAAAUCCCCGGGCUCAACCUGGGAACUGCGUUCUGAACUGGGUGACUAGAGUGUGUCAGAGGGAGGUAGAAUUCCACGUGUAGCAGUGAAAUGCGUAGAGAUGUGGAGGAAUACCGAUGGCGAAGGCAGCCUCCUGGGAUAACACUGACGUUCAUGCCCGAAAGCGUGGGUAGCAAACAGGAUUAGAUACCCUGGUAGUCCACGCCCUAAACGAUGUCGAUUAGCUGUUGGGCAGCUUGACUGCUUAGUAGCGAAGCUAACGCGUGAAAUCGACCGCCUGGGGAGUACGGUCGCAAGAUUAAAACUCAAAGGAAUUGACGGGGACCCGCACAAGCGGUGGAUGAUGUGGAUUAAUUCGAUGCAACGCGAAAAACCUUACCUACGCUUGACAUGUCCGGAACCCUGAAGAGAUUUGGGGGUGCUCGAAAGAGAGCCGGAACACAGGUGCUGCAUGGCUGUCGUCAGCUCGUGUCGUGAG
rnacentral:rRNA from 1 species